CCUACGGGAGGCUGCAGUGGGGAAUAUUGGACAAUGGGGGCAACCCUGAUCCAGCCAUGCCGCGUGUGUGAAGAAGGCCCUCGGGUUGUAAAGCACUUUCAGUGAGGAAGAACGCCUGGUGGUUAAUACCCAUCAGGAAAGACAUCACUCACAGAAGAAGCACCGGCUAACUCCGUGCCAGCAGCCGCGGUAAUACGGAGGGUGCGAGCGUUAAUCGGAAUUACUGGGCGUAAAGCGCGCGUAGGUGGCUUGAUAAGCCGGUUGUGAAAGCCCCGGGCUCAACCUGGGAACGGCAUCCGGAACUGUCAAGCUAGAGUGCAGGAGAGGAAGGUAGAAUUCCCGGUGUAGCGGUGAAAUGCGUAGAGAUCGGGAGGAAUACCAGUGGCGAAGGUGGCCUUCUGGACUGACACUGACACUGAGGUGCGAAAGCGUGGGUAGCAAACAGGAUUAGAUACCCGGGUAGUC
rnacentral:rRNA from 1 species